CAGUCGCCGCGGUAAUACGGAGGGGGCUAGCGUUGUUCAGAAUUACUGGGCGUAAAGCGCACGUAGGCGGCUUGGUAAGUUAGAGGUGAAAGCCCGGAGCUCAACUCCGGAAUUGCCUUUAAGACUGGCGAUCUUGAGUAUGGAAGAGGUAUGUGGAACUCCGAGUGUAGAGGUGAAAUUCGUAGAUAUUCGGAAGAACACCAGUGGCGAAGGCGGCUCACUGGACCGACACUGACGCUGAGGCGCGAAAGCGUGGGGAGCAAACAGGAUUAGAUACCCGGGUAGUCCCUGUCUCUUAUAC
rnacentral:rRNA from 1 species